ACUGAUCGGAUGACUGCACAAACAACUUCCUUUGUAAAAAUCAUGGUUGCAGGCUUGCAAAGGGGAUCACAACAAAUACCAUUGAGGACACGGGUCAUUCUAUAUGGGCGAGUACUGUAUUGCGCCGAGGCUGAGGUGGCGUGUGUGUACUCUCUGCUUCCCAUUAGUAGUAAGCAGAGCAAAGCAGAGCUCGUCCCUUUCCAUUGCUUCUCUCUCUCUCUCUAAAUGUAAAUAUAUGUAUAUAUACACCCAUAAAUCUUAGGGUUUAAGCAAGCAGAAUGCAUAGCAGCAAUGUGUGUGGUUUCAUUAAAGAACCCGGUUAGGAGUUUUGGCCAUCAAUUUCAUGGACAUUGCCAUAGCAAUUGCCAACUAUCAAAGAGGAAGGUUAGAAAUUGCUUAAAGAGAUACAAAAUAUAGUCAAAGAAAAUAGAACAUUCAAGAAUUUUGAGUUCUCCUUAAAUUUUCUCAUUUUUUUAAUGAGAUUUUUAUUGUGUAAUCACAAUAAAAAAACCUUUUAUUUCUUAACUUUCUUUGUAUAUAUUUUUCCAACAUUAGACUUUUAUUUAUGAAACAUAUAAAGUUAUUAGCUAUUCAUAUGUGGUCAAUGUUGUGAUUCAAAGGAAAUUUUUGUACAAAUAAUAUUGAUUAUAUUUUAGAUGUUAGUUCUAUUUAGAUUUUAA